rnacentral:tRNA from 1 species
GCUCCUAUCGUCUAGCCUGGUCUAGGACAUUGCCCUCUCACGGCAAAAACUCGGGUUCAAAUCCCGAUGGGAGCA